UCAGCAUUAUUGCUCCCAAUUUUUUUGUUCACUUCCUAAAGUUUCUAAGCUAGAUUUCGAUUCAGCACACGAUUAAAUUAUUGUUAUUGAACUGCUUCAUAGUUUUUCUAUAUUGCAUUUAGUGUCUUAUGCCUCCAUAAAAGUAGUUUUACUUUCCUCGAACUCGCAUUCCAAGGCCACAACUUUCAGAUUACUAUAGUGAUCCAUUAUCUCAAACCUUGCACUAAGCAUCUAAUUUCCCUCUACUCCAAUGCCUUUUGAAGUUCGAAAGCAAAUUUAGGUUUUGAAUGCCGGAAUUUCCCAUGCCAUUGUCUGUGCCUUCACCUAUUGUUUUUCUAUAUGAUGGCUUCUUUGUAACGUCACUGUCCUAAAUUGGAGUAUCGACUUCGGUCUCUACUCCCCAUGCCCUAACUGUUUCCCUCAAGAAAACCAAGCAGACAUCUUCUUUGAUU